rnacentral:snRNA from 1 species
GGAUGUGAGGGUGAUCUGGCUGUGACAUCUGUCACCUCUUUGAUCACCAGGGUUGGUUCAGCUAAUCUGGCUGGCUAGGUAGGUGUCCUCUUCCUGCCUCACUGGCCCAUGUAUGUCAAUCCUAAGACAAGGAAGACUGGUUUCAGGCAAGGGUGUACAAAUAGCUGUGCUUCCCUACUAGAAUCUCCCAAAAAGCUCAAAACACUUGUGAAAAGAGGAAGUAGCAUCAUUUUAAAUUUUUAAAAAUUAUUUUAGAUU